CCUACGGGAGGCUGCAGUGGGGAAUAUUGCACAAUGGGGGAAACCCUGAUGCAGCGACGCCGCGUGAGUGAAGAAGUAAUUCGUUAUGUAAAGCUCUAUCAGCAGGGAAGAAGGAGGACGGUACCUGACUAAGAAGCCCCGGCUAACUACGUGCCAGCAGCCGCGGUAAUACGUAGGGGGCAAGCGUUAUCCGGAUUUACUGGGUGUAAAGGGGGCGCAGACGGCAGCGCAAGCCAGGAGUGAAAGCCCGGGGCCCAACCCCGGGACUGCUCUUGGAACUGCGCGGCUGGAGUGCAGGAGGGGCAGGCGGAAUUCCUGGUGUAGCGGUGAAAUGCGUAGAUAUCAGGAGGAACACCGGUGGCGAAGGCGGCCUGCUGGACUGCGACUGACGUUGAGGCCCGAAAGCGUGGGGAGCAAACAGGAUUAGAUACCCGUGUAGUC
rnacentral:rRNA from 1 species